UAUACACUAGGGCUGAAACAAUUAGUCGACAUUAUCGACAACGUCGACAAUAAAAAAAUUGUCGGCAAAUGUUUUUGAGUAACGUUAGUGGUUUGAUCUCGUAUCUGCCUAAUGUGAAAGCCUGCAAUAAUGCAGUUUGACCAGUGUGUCGCUGUAGCGCAAAAUUGUACACUCUCCUGAUUUAAUUCAAAAGAAGAAGAUAGCACUUCAGUUUGAGGAAACCGAGCCGAUCCGAACCUUGGAUGAAUAUAUUUGUGCAGAAUUUGAGACAUACAGAAUUACCAUAGGCCCAUUAGAAUCAACAAUCUUUGCCAAACUGGAUCCGCACUACAAGACUUAUGAAGAUGUUUGCAUACUGAAGAAGAGUCCUUGGACAAAUAAAGAAACCCUCUUGGUGCCCACUACACAGGCAGGGGUGUCCAGACCUGCUCUAGGAAAGCCAGUGUUCUAUGGAGUUUAGCUCUAACUCACCUGCCUGGAACUUCUAACUAAUGAAAUUGAAGUAUCCAAUGAAGACCCUAGCAGUAUGGAGUAUAUGGUGAGUUUUUUUU